rnacentral:lncRNA from 1 species
UACCCCUGAAAUAAAUUGCGCCAAUUUUCCCUCCGAGAAUUUCGUAGGGGACAGGGAUAUCAUGCAAAUAUUCUUUGGGCCCCCACUUAUUUAAUGCUCGCAGAGAUACAUGUCGUAGCAUUAAAUGCAAAAGUAAUUAUGGGAAGAUAAGAAAUCACAGCUACGAGAUAUCUUAUCACGAUAUCUUUCCCCCAUCCCUUUAUAUGCUUUAGUGUCCUGAUAUAUAUCUUCGUAUCACGUUAUACGUUUACAGACUGUGGCACGAAAGAUUCGGAAUUAAAUUGCGGGAAUUUUCCCUCCGAGAAUUUCGUGCAAAUAUCCUUUGGGCCCCACUUAUUUAAUGCUCGUAGAGAUACGUGUGUUGCAACAGAGAUACAUAUCUGGAUAUAUAUGCGUUUAUCCGAUACACGGU